UCUACCAUGCCGGCCGCCGGUUUCCACCACGGAAUCAAUAGGGAAUCCCAGGCCCGCCAAUUCGGGCCAAACGGAACUGCCCCCCGCAACCUGUAGGUGCCGAGCCUGCUCCAUCAAUGCCACUGGGCCACGAACCCGGGAAGGCCGGAGCCAGGCCAUGACGCACCAGUCAGGAGACCUGCCGGCCUACAUUCACCAAC
rnacentral:ncRNA from 2 species